GCUGGUCCUAGUGGAGCUUCAUGGCGGAAAAAGACCUGAGGGUGUUUGUCAACAGCUGUCUGAAUGUGAGCUAGUGGUGUGCCCAGGUGGCCAAGAGGGCCAAUGGCAUCCUGGUUUGUAUCAGGAAUAGUGUAGCCAGCAGGAGUAAG